rnacentral:rRNA from 1 species
CUACGGGUGGCUGCAGUAACGAAUCUUCCGCAAUGUGCGAAAGCUUGACGGAGCAAUGCCGCGUGCAGGAUGAAGCCCCUCGGGGUGUAAACUGCUGUCAGGGGCUACCAAGAUCUGAGGAGCCCCAGAGGAAGGGCCGGCUAACUUCGUGCCAGCAGCCGCGGUAAUACGAAGGGCCCGAGCGUUAAGCGGAAUCACUGGGCUUAAAGGGUGCGUAGGCGGACACGUCAGUGCUUUGUGAAAUCCCACGGCUCAACCGUGGAAGUGCUUGGCAUACUGCGUGUCUUGAGGUCGGUAGAGGUUGCCGGAACUGUAGGUGUAGCGGUGAAAUGCGUAGAUAUCUACAGGAACACCCAUGGCGAAGGCAGGCAACUGGACCGAUUCUGACGCUGAGGCACGAAAGCGUGGGGAGCAAACAGGAUUAGAUACCCGUGUAGUC